AUACAGAGGGUGCGAGCGUUAAUCGGAAUUACUGGGCGUAAAGCGCGCGUAGGCGGCUUAUUAAGUCAGAUGUGAAAUCCCCGGGCUCAACCUGGGAACUGCAUCUGAUACUGGCAAGCUAGAGUUUUGGAGAGGGAAGUAGAAUUUCAGGUGUAGCGGUGAAAUGCAUAGAGAUCUGAAGGAAUACCAGUGGCGAAGGCGACUUCCUGGCCAAAAACUGACGCUGAGGUGCGAAAGCGUGGGUAGCAAACGGGAUUAGAAACCCUAGUAGUCC
rnacentral:rRNA from 1 species